rnacentral:lncRNA from 1 species
UUUGCUCUUUGGUUAUGUUGCAGUUCCUUAUUUGUUCUCCAAGCAGAUGUGGCAGCUUCUCUAGUUCCUCAGUUCGGACUCCUUCCGCUGGGAUGAUUGUGCAAGCUGCAUUCUUCUCUGCUUGUUUCCUCUGCAUGGCGGGCAGGCACGAGGGAAAGGUGUUGGUCCUUAUUUCUUUCUUCAAUCUUUCCAAGUGCCCACCUCUUGCUUU